rnacentral:rRNA from 1 species
AUACGUAGGGGGCGAGCGUUGUCCGGAAUGAUUGGGCGUAAAGGGCGCGUAGGCGGCCCGGUAAGUCUGGAGUGAAAGUCCUGUUUUUAAGAUGGGAAUUGCUUUGGAUACUGUCGGGCUUGAGUGCAGGAGAGGUAAGUGGAAUUCCCAGUGUAGCGGUGAAAUGCGUAGAGAUUGGGAGGAACACCAGUGGCGAAGGCGACUUACUGGACUGUAACUGACGCUGAGGCGCGAAAGUGUGGGGAACAAACAGGAUUAGAUACCCUGGUAGUCCACACUGUAAACGAUGAAUGCUAGGUGUAGGGGGUAUCGACCCCUUCUGUGCCGCAGUCAACACAAUAAGCAUUCCGCCUGGGGAGUACGGCCGCAAGGUUGAAACUCAAAGGAAUUGGCGGGG